GCAUUUGCUAUGGCCUCCACUCUUGCUCCUCCGGAUGACCUCCACAUUGCUGGCUUCUUGUUGGGGAUACACACCUACCUACCGAGAGACCUCCAAACAGAGACAUCAACACAGAAACCUCCGCAGAGAUAACCAGAUCUCCAUAUGCAAACCCAUGUAAAAAGAAACCUAGAGAAACAGAUGCCCAGAUGAAGAGGGGUUUCCAGACAGAUUCUUGGCUGACGUUUCUGUCAGUGGUGUGAAAGGACAUUUACCCAGAUUCUAUAGAUAUUUUGGUUAUGCACUCAACAAACCUACAAUGAAACUACCAGAAUACAAAAGCAAUUGUGAACUCCAGAGAGUGCUAGAAAACAUUAUGGAAGAGGGUAUAGUUUAUGUUAAUUAUAGAGGACUAAAGAGAUGUAGAAUAGGAGAGCUGAAAAAGCCUCCACUUCCAGUGGCUCUUAGAGUGUAAUUAGUCCAAGGGACAGCAAGCUGCCUUCUAGCAGAAUCGUUGUGAUCCCAAAGCCCACAUGACUGGGGCCUCUCUCUGGUCCUUUAUACAGUAAUUAAUAUUUAAAAGAUCUCGCUAAAGCCCUGUCAAGUCCUGAAGCAAGAUUUUGAAAAAUAAAAAAACUCAUAAAACACAAAAUAGAACAAAACAAUGAGCUCUGAGUUUGCUUUGUUGAAAGCAAUGGGUUGAAUUGUGUCUCCCCAUAAUAUGUAUUUUGAAGUCCUAACCUCUAGUACCUUAGGGUGUGACCUUAUUUGGAGAUGCAGACAUUACAGAAGUAAUCAAGUUAAAGUGAGGUCAUUGGGAUGGGCCCUAAUCUGAUACAACUGGUAAUUUGGACACAGACACAUUCAGGCAGAACACCAUGUGAACAUAAAGAUGGUCAGGUACAAGCCAAAGGGGAGAGGCCUGGAACAGAUCCUUCCUUCACAGGCCUCAGAAGGAACCAACCCUGCCAACAUCUUGAUCUUGGACUUCUGGCCUCCAGACCUGUGAGACAACAAAUUUGUGAUCUUUUGUUAUGACAAUCCUAGCAAAAUACACUGUGACACCCAGUUUCUAAUCUGAUGACAAACGGAGGCAUCUACAAUCUCUGAGGGUGUGUGCAUUUGGGCACUCAUUUCACCACUGACUUCAUUUAUGUCCUAUUCUUUGUUUUCCAUUUGUUUCAUUUUUCUAAUUUUAUCUUCCAUUUUUAAAAAAGUUUACUGUACUAGACGUAACUUUUUAAGCUGCCUGAAAUUCUUCUUAGGUUUACAAAUGAUAUAAACUGGUAAAUAAAGAUGAUCAGACCUUAAGCACAUAUAGCACACAUGGCUGGGAUGAAACAACUAAGUAGCAAAAUAUUAAUUUAUAAAACAAAUUAAACAGCAAAAAAAGAAAAUAGUAAAAUCCAACUCUCCUGGACCAUUGGAGGAGGAACUGCAAGGGAUGAUGAAGAUUUCAUAGAGCAAAUGAUUUCUACACUCUGGGAAAGAAUUCUUCAGGCAGUACACCACUUUAAAAUGGUGCUUGACUCACCAAAACAUCAGAGCCGUCUUCAACUUUUCACAACGCAGAGCAGAGAAAGAGGAAGAUCACUUGUAGAUGGAGUGUGGCAGGAAUUUUGUGAAGUGUAUAAAGAAGUUAGCAAGUGUAUAAAGAAGAUAGCCAUUUACUAAGCAUCUGCUAUGUAGCAGGCACUCUGCUAGACAUUUGUUAUGGAAUGAAUCAUUUAAUCCUUGUAAUAAACUUGCAAGGAUAUAUUUUAGCCCACCCCCUACCUAAAACCAAUAAAUAUGUGGCUCAGAAAAGUAAAUUAACUGGUCUAAGAGCAAGUAAUUAGUAAAAAGUUGAGCUGGGAUUUGAUAUAAAGAAAAAUCUGAUCUAAACUUGAUAAUAUUUCUGCUUCCCCAAAUUGCCUCCUUAAAGUUUACACAUUGUUUGGUCUCUUCAAUACACAUCAAAAUUAUCAAUACCUAUAGAAAUGUCAAUGAAAAGUCUUCCUUUAAAUUAGAAUAUUUAGAAACUUUAGGCCCAGAGACUAAAAAGUAUGUGAAAUUAGUAUAAAAGUAUGUAAAAUGUUUGUAAAGAAAUGAUGAUAACUUCGUAGACCAAUGUGGCAUGUAAAACAUGUGGGCCACAGAGGGAGAUUAAGAAAAAAAUAUAUGCAAUCAUAAUAAUAAAAGUGGAGUUACUCCAGACUAUGCUUUUUGCCAAUUCUUUGGUGAGAAGGGAUUGGUAGUUAAUUAUAGAACCACUUUCUAUAUUAAUUCUAGAUAUUGUAUUCUAAUCCUUAGAAAGUAGGCUGUGGAAGAACUAAUAAUUGCCCUCAAGGACCCAUUCUCUUCUUCUCAUAAGAGAAUCUAUGGUUGCCCAACUAAAGCUUCUAUUUCGCAGCACUCAUUGCAGAUAGUUAUAGCUAUGGACUCAGUUCUGGCCAGUGGACUCUGAAUAAAGGUACUAUGUACACUGUUGGCUGUGCUCUUAAAGCUAAGGGAUGUGCCAUCUCAUCCCCUGUGCUCUCUUUGUUGGCUGGGAAGCUGGCAGGAUGAUAGGAGUUAAGCCAGCCAUUAUGGACUUUCAGAUGGAAACCAGCUGUUGAGGAUGAGAGAGCGACAAAAAGAAGACCGUCAAGAUUGUGGGGCUAAUUUACCAGCCUGAAUUGCCAACCUGUGUUUUUGUAUUACAGGCAAAUAAAGUAUGUGUUUUUAAAGUCGC
rnacentral:lncRNA from 1 species